GCUUACAAGCAAUGUUUUCGAAGUGUCACACUCCGAUUUUCUUAAAAAUUAGUGUGAGGCAGGGAAAAGGUGUCAUGAUAACCAAACAAACGUCCAUUUUUGCCCUAAUUGCCCAGGAGCUGCGUUACACGCAUUUCAAAUUUGGAAAUUUAUGCAACUUCACGACAUGUAUGUUUCGCAUGCUGCAUACUUACCUAUAUGAAGCACAUUAUGUCAUAUGGUAAGUAUGCAGCACGCGAAACAGCGAAGUCAUGAAGUUGCAUAAAUUUCCAAAUUAGAAACGCUUGUAACGCAGCCCAUGAUCAACUUAUAAUUUUAAUAUAAUAAUAUACCUUUAUUCCUUUAAUUUACGAAUGAAGAUACUUUAUACAUUUUCUAAAAAUGUUGUGAAAUAAUGAAAUUAGUUAUUUCUAUUCUAUUUAUAAAUAAAAGUAAUAAUAUCUUCAUGUGAAGAACUAUUUUGCCAUACUACAAGAGUAGUUUGAAUAAAUCGAAAUUUCGGAUAUUAUCAAAUGGCAAAUAUUGAAAUAAAAAACGUUGUAAAUUCUUUUUGAUAGCUUUCAUAUUUAUAUAAAACGAUAUAAAAUAUUUAUUUAUUCUAAACUCUUUAUAGAAUUUACACCAAACAAAAACGUAAAUAAUUGCACAAAUAAAAGCGUAGAUAUAUUAAAAAUAUCUAGAUAUUUCAGUUUUUGGAUUCACUUGGCAUUCUCACAGUAAUGGAAUGACCAGAGGUGCUCGAAGCAAAGUAAUUGGAGACACCAAGCACACUUCAAGAAGAACCUUUUGGUACAUCCAUUUUCUCCGCAGGUUCCAGUUUCUGUUGAAAAGCAGAACUGUGCCGGGGUCUCAAAUGCUGGGGGCCUGGUCGGUCCAAGGUAACCGGCUUUCCAAAAGCCGUACUGGAUUGCCGCUUGGAAUCGUGGAGCGCUGAAUUGGUUCAUAGAUAUGGACACUAGCUUGAUUAUGGAGUUUCGCUCUGACAGUGUCACAUCAACUCCCAUUGCAAUGAUGCGAUCUGAAAAUUUUCGCAGGAAGCACUUUAGGGGUCUAUUGAAAUAGACAUCUUGCGGCUGCACCCAUCCAGUUGUGCCUGCAGGGAUUUCAGCUAUUGUUACUGACUUGGCCAAAGGCAAGUUGUCCAGAAGCUCGUCGUUCCACCAACCAAACCAUUUGUCCCUCAGAAAUCCUGACUUGCUUUUUAGCAAGUAAAACUAAAUUGGGAGGCCGGAAAAUCUUCUUUAACACAGAGGGGCCAAAUUUCCCAGUUGUUUCCUGCAGAAUCAGCAAACUAGGGGAGUGUAGGCGGCCGUCAGCGGAUGUGACAGGAAGUAUGGUAGAUGAGUGCGUAAGAGCAUGUUUGCUUUGUAUCAACUGAAACAAUAUAAUUCAAUUCAUUUUAUUGACUUAAGGCAUGAAAUUACUAACAAAAAAAUAAUAAUUUAAUAAUAUUUUUUAUAAUCUUUAUAAAAAAUUAAACCGCUCCUUGAUGUCUUUUAAUGAGAAUCAUGGUAUAUUUUAAUAUUCAAUCAAAUAUCAUUGAUAAAUAUUAAAAUUGUAACAAUAAGUAUGUAAUUUUAUAUAGAUAUAUAUUUUUUAUAACAUACCUUCCAAACAUUGCUGGCUCCUAUCAAGUCAAGGGUUCUCCCGGUGUGAAUUUCUCUCACAAGUCCCAUGUGAUCCGCGUUGAACACAUUCGAUGCGCCUAUCUCCUUGACUAGUGCAGCCCCGUCUUUGACAAAUUCUUUCCCUUGCUGAAUGAGCUCCUCUUCUCUCUCGAUAGAAGCUUUCGUCAUAAACUUUGUGACUUUGCGAUCACCAACUCCAAAUCGCCUUUUCCAGUUGUAAACAAACGAGCGUGAUGCAAAGAAGUUUGUCAAUUUAGCUGUUUUUCCUUCAUCAGCAGCCCACUCCAUGAGAUCACAGUCAUGUAUCAAAUAUCCAUUUUCACGCGCAUUGUCGAAGCGUCUCUUCACGGCUGCAACAUAUAUAUUUUUUUAUUUAUUAAAAAAUUAUUUUACAACAUUUCAUAAUAAUAACAAAUAAAAAUAUCAAUUGACAUUUACAGUUCCAUUAAUAUAAUAAUAAUUAUAGUUAUGUAAUUUAAAUCUUUCUUUAUUAAUUAGAAUUUUUUAAAUCUUUAAUAUUUUUUAUUUUAAUUUAUAAAUUUAUUAUUAAUUUAAAAAAAUUAACAGUUUCUUCAUAAUUAUUUAAAUAUAUUUUCUUAUUAAUAGUUUGAAUGCUGAAACUUGAGGUUUUAUGUUACCUAAAUAUACAGCAGCUAAUUUGUUCAGUCUAUCUCCUCCAUUUUCCAGCUGCGAUUUCCAUCUGUAUAGUUGUCUCCUACUCGUGACGUAUCUAAAGCGGUGCUGCACAGAUUCAAUAGGACGAAGUUUUCCUUUUGUGGCUCUCCAGUAGUUAACAGCAUUUUGCUUUUCCUUCAGACUAACAACAAUUUGUACUGCACCUAAAGGGUUGUCAUCAUCUGGGCAGUACUCGGCGUUGUCGCCCUCAAUUUGUUCAGCGUGUUGCCCACGUGGAUGAAUCGAGUGUCUUGUUUCCAGAGUAUUGUCAUGAACAUCGUAAUCAUUUUGCGUUUCCAGUGAGUCAACCAAGUCGUCAAUUAGGAGUUCACUAGUAGUCUCAUGCUGAUAGUCGAGUGUAGUUUCUUGGAUAAUUUUGUCAAUGCUGUUGAAGUCACAUAUUAUUGCUAAAAAAAAAAAGGAAGUUGCUUGUUUUAAAAACUUGUCAUUCAAUUAAUAAUAGUGAAUAUUACCCUUCAGAUGGCUGGUCAAUUGUAAUUCGAUUAGGGUAGGAACUGUGGUUUUCAAAGUAUCAAAUCCACAGUCGUAAAUCAAUUGUUGUAUAACGUUGUGAACAGAAAUUAUUUGAUCACUCAUUUUCAAUAAAUAAAAAACACAUCUAUUUCCUCGUGUGUUUUUCCAAGAACUGAUUUUAUGGACUGAUUGUGAAUUGAGGGUGAAGUUGGUUCGACCGUGCUCUGGAAUGCGCUCCCUGCAUUCUUAAAAUUACUAGAGCACCCUGCAAGUUUUGCAUGGGCACUUCGUCCUUAUGUUGUUAUGUUUAUACAGAACUUGUUCCAAGGUCGCAGAAAAGUUCAUCGUCGGUGGCAGAUAAAUUCCAAUAAAUUCAAUACGGCCAUAAAAGGGAAGAAGAAUAAAAAUCGUCAAAAUUGCACAUUAUUAUUCUUCAUAAAGCCACAAUUUUUGUUGAACUUUUUUUAAAUGCAAAAUUAAAUUGGCAAAACAAUUUAAAUUAAAUUUUAAUUACAAGUAAAAUUAAAUUUCAAUAUUUUCAAUAAAAUUUAAAUAUAAUAUUUUCAUUCAAAUCUAAUUUUAACAUAAUAUAUUUGAAGAUUUAGUUUUCUAAAUUUAAUUAACAUUUUUAAAUAAUUAUAAUUAAAAAAAACAUCGAUUAAAUAAAGCAUCAGAAAACUGAAUUUUAACCUAAAAUUCUUGAUUCAAAAAUUUAAGAAAAUAUUGAUUAAAAAAAUGGUCAUUUAACUCUUUAAGAUAGAUGAUAUUUUUGCAAGGGCUCAAUUUCUUUUUAAAUUGCAAAUAUACGCCAAGAUCAAAAUAACCAAAAUAGCAUUCUUUUCCGAGCCGUUUUUCAAUGAUAUUGUCUAUGCUAUGAUCACUAAAAAUCUAUUCCUGUUAAGAGUAAUAAAACA